rnacentral:rRNA from 1 species
AGAGUUUGAUCAUGGCUCAGAACGAACGCUGGCGGCGUGCUUAACACAUGCAAGUCGAACGAGAAAGCUCCCUUCGGGGGGUGAGUACAGUGGCAGACGGGUGAGUAACACGUGGGUAACCUGCCCGGAGGUGGGGGAUAACCCUUCGAAAGGAGGGCUAAUACCGCAUGAUAUCCCGGACUCUUCGGCGUCCGGGCUCAAAGCUAGCCUCUACUCGUAAGCUAGCGCCACCGGAGGGGCCCGCGCCCCAUUAGCUUGUUGGUGAGGUAACGGCUCACCAAGGCCGCGAUGGGUAGCCGGCCUGAGAGGGUGAUCGGCCACACUGGAACUGAGACACGGUCCAGACUCCUACGGGAGGCAGCAGUGAGGAAUUUUGCGCAAUGGGCGAAAGCCUGACGCAGCGACGCCGCGUGGAGGACGAAGGUCUUCGGAUCGUAAACUCCUGUCGAGCGGGNNGAAUCCCGGGGGGAUGAAUAAGCCUUCCGGGGGACG